rnacentral:lncRNA from 1 species
CUGACCUGGUGAUCCUCAGUGCUCUGGGUGUCUCAGGUCCGAACUUUUUUCCCUUGCUUUGCCUUUGUCUUGUCCAGAACAAGGCUGCUUAUCUGUAGCAGAAAUAAGGAAGAGAUUGUAAUGGGCGAAAACGGUGCUGGCUAAGGAAGGAUGCAAAUCUUUCACACGUCUGUGGCCAGAAGAGGUCGUACAGGGGUCCGGGGAGAAGCUGGGAGAGCUCCAGUUUCUUGGAAACUUCCGAGGUGAUAAACCUGAGCUUAGUGGCAAACAUCCAGCUUCUGCAGAGACCAGGUGUGGAAAAGCUACACCGAAAGUGCUGCAAACAAAAUGGGCCGAAUGACUUGGGGCAGCUGCAGACUUGUCACCUUCACCCCAAAUGCCCCUUCAUCGCAGAAGCCACAGGUUUAGGGAGCAGAACUUUUGGAAGGACAAACAAACAAACAAACCAUAUCAGCAAAAUGCUGCUUUUGAGCAAAUGUGGAGGCCAGUGAUACAGGGGAACGUGUGCGAGUUGGGGCUGGAAGACAUCUGUGUCUGCUGUCCAAGAGCUCUUGGCUUUGGGCAGGAUACUCAAAGUUUGUGGCCUUUGUUGUUCAUGGUAAAAUUGGGGAUUGGACUAGAUAUUUCUAAAACCUCUACCAAGCAACUAAAAUUCUGUGAUUAUGAUAACAUUUUCAGGAGAAGGGAAAACCUAAAAGGAAAGAGCAA